rnacentral:hammerhead_ribozyme from 2 species
UAUUCGUCAACAAUUAAAAAUUGUUCUGAUGAGUCCGAUUCUUAGGAGUCUACAAAGGACGAAACGAAUA